GGAAUAUUGGUCAAUGGGUGCAAGUCUGAACCAGCCAUGCCGCGUGCAGGAAGACGGCCCUAUGGGUUGUAAACUGCUUUUAUACGGGAAGAAACACUCUGACGUGUCAGAGCUUGACGGUACCGUAAGAAUAAGGAUCGGCUAACUCCGUGCCAGCAGCCGCGGUAAUACGGAGGAUCCAAGCGUUAUCCGGAAUCAUUGGGUUUAAAGGGUCCGUAGGCGGGACAAUAAGUCAGCGGUGAAAGUCUGUGGCUCAACCAUAGAAUUGCCAUUGAUACUGUUGUUCUUGAGUGUUUAUGAAGUGGUUAGAAUACGUAGUGUAGCGGUGAAAUGCUUAGAUAUUACAUGGAAUACCGAUUGCGAAGGCAGAUCACUAAUAAAAUACUGACGCUGAUGGACGAAAGCGUAGGUAGCGAAC
rnacentral:rRNA from 1 species